CCUACGGGAGGCAGCAGUGAGGAAUAUUGGUCAAUGGGCGCGAGCCUGAACCAGCCAAGUCGCGUGAGGGAAGACGGUCCUAUGGAUUGUAAACCUCUUUUGUCGGGGAGCCAAAGACGCCACGCGUGGCGUACUGAGAGUACCCGAAGAAAAAGCAUCGGCUAACUCCGUGCCAGCAGCCGCGGUAAUACGGAGGAUGCGCGCGUUUUCCGGAUUUAUUGGGUUUAACGGGUGCGCAGGCGGAAGAUCAAGGCAGCGGGAAAAUUGAGAGGCUCAACCUCUUCGAGCCGUUGAAAAUGGUUUUCUUGAGUGAGCGAGAAGUAUGCGGAAUGCGUGGUGUAGCGGUGAAAUGCAUAGAUAUCACGAAGAACUCCGAUUGCGAAGGCAGCAUACCGGCGCUCAACUGACGCUCAUGCACGAAAGUGUGGGUAUCGAACAGGAUUAGAUACCCUAGUAGUC
rnacentral:rRNA from 1 species